GUGAGGAAUAUUGGACAAUGGGCGCAAGCCUGAUCCAGCAAUGCCGCGUGCAGGAAGAAGGCCUUCGGGUUGUAAACUGCUUUUGUACGGAACGAAACGGCUCUGGUUAAUACCCGGGGCUAAUGACGGUACCGUAAGAAUAAGCACCGGCUAACUACGUGCCAGCAGCCGCGGUAAUACGUAGGGUGCAAGCGUUAAUCGGAAUUACUGGGCGUAAAGCGUGCGCAGGCGGUUUUGUAAGACAGGCGUGAAAUCCCCGGGCUCAACCUGGGAAUGGCGCUUGUGACUGCAAAGCUGGAGUGCGGCAGAGGGGGAUGGAAUUCCGCGUGUAGCAGUGAAAUGCGUAGAUAUGCGGAGGAACACCGAUGGCGAAGGCAAUCCCCUGGGCCUGCACUGACGCUCAUGCACGAAAGCGUGGGGAGCAAACAGGAUUAGAUACCCCAGUAGUCC
rnacentral:rRNA from 1 species